CGGGGACACCGGCGGACGGCUCAGUAACACGUCGGUAACCUACCCUCGGGAGGGGGAUAACCCCGGGAAACUGGGGCUAAUCCCCCAUAGGCCUGGGGUACUGGAAGGUCCCCAGGCCGAAAGGGGCUCUGCCCGCCCGAGGAUGGGCCGGCGGCCGAUUAGGUAGUUGGUGGGGUAACGGCCCACCAAGCCGAAGAUCGGUACGGGCCAUGAGAGUGGGAGCCCGGAGAUGGACACUGAGACACGGGUCCAGGCCCUACGGGGCGCAGCAGGCGCGAAACCUCCGCAAUGCGGGCAACCGCGACGGGGGGACCCCCAGUGCCGUGGCAAAGCCACGGCUUUUCCGGAGUGUAAAAAGCUCCGGGAAUAAGGGCUGGGCAAGGCCGGUGGCAGCCGCCGCGGUAAUACCGGCGGCCCAAGUGGUGGCCGCUAUUAUUGGGCCUAAAG
rnacentral:rRNA from 1 species